UGGCUGUUCUGUGCACCGGCCAGCAGGCGGAGUACGUGUGUCUGCCGGUCGAUAGAUGCAUAUAUGUACAAGCAUGUGUGAAUGUGUGAUUUUCCGCAAAACUCGGGGUGUUCAAGGGAGGUGAUAGUCUUCGGAGUAGAUGCGCCUGUGGUGUGUUUCUCUUUUCCGCUGAUGUUCCGAUGAAUAUAACGCGAGAGAAACGCGAACACGUAGCCUUGGACACCGGCUGUUUGCGCUCUCUGUCACAGGCGAUGGCUUUUCCCUUUUCAAAACUGACGAGGCCGUCCAGUACCGGCGGCUUGUCGGUUUUAUGCGAUAGACAAAUAUGUCUUGAAUCGCUGUGUAUUCUGUAACGGUCUCUGCAGUCACGUGAAUCAUCGGAAGAUUUCGGAGGCAGAAUUUUCUGAGAAACAUGUUCACUCCGCCGCCUGCUGUUGAAUUGCCUAGGGGGAGCGAGUGAUCGCGUUUCGAAGUCCCUUCUCGAAUGACGUAGCACUUCUGUGAUCUUCAGCAAACCAUCGUGUGACAGGAACAGACACGAAACGCGGGAUGCCAGGCCUCUGCGUGAAGCACCAGAUAUCUGCGACUGCACUUGGGGUUUGAUCUGUCGGCCGUUCGCUUUUGUCUGGGC
rnacentral:lncRNA from 1 species